rnacentral:rRNA from 1 species
UACGUAGGGGGCAAGCGUUGUCCGGAAUCAUUGGGCGUAAAGCGCGUGUAGGCGGCUUGGUAAGUCUGCUCUGAAAGCCCGGGGCUCAACCCCGGGAGGCGGGUGGAUACUGUCAAGCUCGAGUCCGGAAGAGGAGUGUGGAAUUCCUGGUGUAGCGGUGAAAUGCGCAGAUAUCGAAGGAAGACACCCAGUGGCGAAGGCGGCUCCUGUCGGGCACGUGACUGACGCUGAGACGACGAAGCGUGGGGGAGCGAAACAGG